rnacentral:lncRNA from 1 species
UGAUAGACAUAUAGCUUUAACGUUUUCUUUUUGUUUUAGAGAUGGUGUCACAAGACAGUACACACCCAAGCAAGCAUUCCUGUACAGCACAUUUCUAAAGGUUGGAAAAAAAAUGGCUCUGUGCUCAGUGGGCACUGUUAACUCAUAUCCUAGUGUGGAUUUUCUGUUGCAAGCUGCUCCCCUUUUCAUGAGGAGUCUGGGUGCUCUCAGAAGAGGAGCUUAAAAAAAAAGAAGAAGAAGAAGAA